rnacentral:miRNA from 1 species
CAGAAUGCAGAAAUAAAGCCAGU